AGUGAACGCUGGCGGUAGGCCUAACACAUGCAAGUCGAACGGCAGCACAGCAAGAGCUUGCUCUUACGGGUGGCGAGUGGCGGACGGGUGAGGAAUACAUCGGAAUCUACUUUUUCGUGGGGGAUAACGUAGGGAAACUUACGCUAAUACCGCAUACGACCUACGGGUGAAAGCAGGGGAUCUUCGGACCUUGCGCGAUUGAAUGAGCCGAUGUCGGAUUAGCUAGUUGGCGGGGUAAAGGCCCACCAAGGCGACGAUCCGUAGCUGGUCUGAGAGGAUGAUCAGCCCCACUGGAACUGAGACACGGUCCAGACUCCUACGGGAGGCAGCAGUGGGGAAUAUUGGACAAUGGGCGCAAGCCUGAUCCAGCCAUACCGCGUGGGUGAAGAAGGCCUUCGGGUUGUAAAGCCCUUUUGUUGGGAAAGAAAAGCAGCAGGUUAAUACCCCGCUGUUCUGACGGUACCCAAAGAAUAAGCACCGGCUAACUUCGUG
rnacentral:rRNA from 1 species